GAGAGAGAGAGACAACGGAACGAAAUCAAGCAGGGAUAACACAUAAAAUCUCGACAUUGUGUGUGUGUGUGUGUGUGAUAUGGCACACACUGGCGGUGGUGGGGGGGGGGGAUAAAAACAAGUUCGAUCUGUCUGAACUCUCUCUCGUUCCCGCGCUUUCUCUCGCGUUUUGAAUAGAAUGCAUGAGAUAGUGUGACGAAUACUUGGAGACGCAGAGACAAUGAGAGCAUCUGUCCAGACGGAGGUCGUGGCGUGAUUGAAUGAGCUCGUCGCUCGAGGGCACGAAGACAAGUUGGCACAGAUAACGGGCGGGGCUUACCGACGAUCCCGGAGGUUCACGUGAAACAGAGAAGAAGUCGCAGCAGAGUACGGAUCCAACAAUGGGUACGGUAGUGGGAUAUCCUAGUGUCAGCAGUCGGCAAGUAACUAGACUUUCGGCAAAAUCAGAAGCUUCAGAGAGGAGAUGGAGCCUACACAACAAUCUCGAUAACAUUAAAAUUCAGUGAUCUCUGUCAGGAUCGCUAGAAAUCACACGGAAGUCGAAAACUAAAAACAUUUCGAAGGAAUUCGAGAUUUUGAUCUUUUGAUAAACCUACAACAUCUCAAGCUUCACUCUGGUUCUGAAUGCGCUAAUUUUUUUUAAUUGGAAUAAAUGAAAAAUCAUAAGAUCAAAGAAAGAUCAGAAAAAUUUCAAUGUUUCCCUACAAAAUCAACAGACAAAAAAGUAAUGAAAACUGUCAUCGGAUUUUCGAAACAAUCAAGAGACUUACUUCGAAAUAAAAUUGAAAUUCAAUCUCGGGGCGUGGGAGCAAGAGCAAAAAGGGGGCGCCGGCGACAGGUUGACAAACAGUAAUUGAUAAAUCCAAGAUAUAUAUCUUGGGCAAGCAAACACUGGGCUCUCUCUCCAACUUUAUCUCAAAUUCGUUAAAAUCGGAGGGCUUUUUUCGGUGCCCCGGAUGCCCCGCUUAAUGACGACAAUUCUUUUCACACCUAAACCCAGAGUGCAAAUAUUUGAGAAUUCGAAGAAGGACAGGUCAAAGUGCUAGAUGAAUAUGGAAACAAUUAAUAAAACUCAAUUAGUAUUAUCAAAAACCGAAAAGUUAUUAAUGAAACUAUAAAACUCGGCGCGGGGGACGUGUGAUCGGAAAUGUACUGUUUUGAAGUUAGAUAACGGCAUGUGACACAUGUUACCAGCUGGUUGCACGUGUUUAAAUAAUUUCAAAUGGGAAAAAUGAGGAAAAAAACUUUAAAAAUGAAGAAAAAUCAGUUGGAAAGAAGAAAAGAACUGCAAAAAAUCGAUGAAAAAGGCAAAACGUGUUGAUGGGUUUAAAGGGAGGCUCUUUGACCUAGGCGCCGGGUCUCGCAACGAUCUUGAAAGUCUUACGGUAAAAAUUAAAUAUAACGUAUCUUUUCAUGGGUUCAGGCUAAUUAUUUUGUAAAUUAAAUAUUUUUAAAAAUAACUAAAAUAUUUUUAAAAAUUUUCAACUGCAAAAAAAUACAUUAAACAGGUCUAAAAUAGAGAACACUACGUUUACACAACUACGGUAGCAGUAGUUUCACGUGUGUCUUUUUUGUAAUCUCCAUAAAAAAUCAAUAAAUAAUUCAUUUUUCAU
ensembl:lincRNA linc-129 ncRNA